UCUUUUCCGAUUUUUGAGGCACCUUUAAAUACAACAGAGGGCGGAGAGCUCAAAACCAGUCGACGUUGUUUCUUUUUCUCAUUCGGUUGCGUCAAAAAACGUUUGACGGGACGGGAGCAAGAGGAGCUCGCGGGAGCAACU
ensembl:ncRNA T06E4.18 ncRNA